rnacentral:rRNA from 1 species
UGGAGAUGUUGGUAUCUUAGUGGCGGACGGGUGAGUAACGCGUGGGUAACCUGCCUUACACUGGGGGAUAACACUUAGAAAUAGGUGCUAAUACCGCAUAACAGGGAAAGAUGCAUGUCUUUUCCUUAAAAACUCCGGUGGUGUAAGAUGGACCCGCGUCUGAUUAGCUUGUUGGCGGGGUAACGGCUCACCAAGACAACGAUACAUAGGGGGACUGAGAGGUUAACCCCCCCACAUUGGUACUGAGACACGGACCAAACUCCUACGGAAGGCAGCAG